CAAAGGUUUGGUCCUGGCCUUUCUAACAACUCUAGCUUAACUUACACAUGCAAGUAUCCGCACCCCCGUGAGAAUGCCCCACAGUUCCCCGCCUGAGAACAAGGAGCCGGUAUCAGGCACACCCCUACACAGCCCACAACACCUUGCUUAGCCACACCCUCAAGGGAAUUCAGCAGUGAUAAAUAUUAAGCCAUAAGUGAAAACUUGACUUAGUUAAAGCUAAGAGGGCCGGUAAAACUCGUGCCAGCCACCGCGGUUAUACGAGAGGCCCGAGUUGUUAGACAUCGGCGUAAAGCGUGGUUAAGAUAACUCAAACACUAAAGCUAAACACCCUCCACACUGUUAUACGUUCACGAAGGUAGGAAGCCCGAUCACGAAAGUAGCUUUACAAUAUCUGAACCCACGAAAGCUAGGACACAAACUGGGAUUAGAUACCCCACUAUGCCUAGCCGUAAACAUAGACAGUCCACUUACCCUACUGUCCGCCCGGGAACUACGAGCAUCAGCUUAAAACCCAAAGGACUUGGCGGUGCUUCAAACCCAUCUAGAGGAGCCUGUUCUAGAACCGAUAAUCCCCGUUCAACCUCACCCUUCCUUGUUCUUUCCGCCUAUAUACCACCGUCGUCAGUUUACCCUGUGAAGGUAAAACAGUAAGCACAAUCGGCACAGCCCAAAACGUCAGGUCGAGGUGUAGCGUAUGGAAGGGGAAGAAAUGGGCUACAUUUCCUAACAUCAGGACAUACGGAUGAUAUGUUGAAACACAUACCUGAAGGAGGAUUUAGCAGUAAGCAUGGAAAUAGAGUGUCCUACUGAAACCGGCUCUGAAGCGCGCACACACCGCCCGUCACUCUCCCCGAACUAAGAUUUUAAAGUAACUAAAACCCUAUAACUGUAAAGGGGAGGCAAGUCGUAACAUGGUAAGUGUACCGGAAGGUGCACUUGGAAUAAAUACAC
rnacentral:ncRNA from 1 species